AAAGCAAGAUUGACUUUUGACAUUGGAUAAAAUCUACAAAUCAGCCCUAGAGUUAUUCAAUGGUAAUUGACAAAACUAAAAUAUUUUCCUUUUGAGAAGGAGUGGAGUGUGGUUUGGCAGAACAACUGCAUUUCACAGCUUUUCCAGUUAAAUUGGAGCACUGAACAUUAGAUGCAUACCAAAUUAUGCAUGGGCCCUUAAUAUAAAAGGCUGGCUACCAGCUUUGACACAGCACUAUUCAUCUUCUGGCCAAACGACUGUGGUUAAAAACACAUGUAAAUUGCUUUUUAACAGCUGAUACUGUAUAAGACAAAGCCAAAAUGCAAAAUUAGGCUUUGAUUGGCACUUUUUGAAAAAUAUGCAACAAAUAUGGGAUGUAAUCUGGAUGGCCGCUUCUGUACUUAAUGUGAAGUAUUUAGAUACCUUUUUGAACACUUAACACUUUCUUCGACAAUGACUUUGCAAGGAUUGGUACUAUAUAUCAUUCCUUAUAAUGUCCAUUGUCUGUCACUAAUCCUCGGAUCUUGCUGUAUUGUCACCUAAAUUGGUACAGGUACUGAUGAAAAUAUCUAAUGGAUAAUCAUAACACUCUUGGUCACGUGUUUUUCCUGCAGCCUGAAGGUUUUUAAAAGAAAAGUAUCAAAUGCCUGCUGCUACCACCCUUUUAAAUUGCUAUCUUUUGCAAAGCACCAGUAUGUGUUUUAGAUUGAUUUCCCUAUUUUAGGGAAAUGACAGACAGUAGUUUCAGUUCUGAUGGUAUAAGCAAAACAAAUAAAACAUGUUUAUAAAAGUUGUAUCUUGAAACACUGGUGUUCAACAGCUAGCAGCUUAUGUGGUUCACCCCAUGCAUUGUUAGUGUUUCAAAUUUUAUGGUUAUCUCCAGCAGCUAUUUCUGUAGUAGUUGCAUUUAUCUUUUGUCUAACCCUAACUGAAUUAAUCCCAUCUAUUCAGCAAAGGCUACUAAUACUAAGUGAAUGGUAUUUUCUGUGCAGAAAUUGAAUUUUGUUUUAUUAGCCUUUAGCUAAGGAAUUUUUCCAGUAGGUGCUCAGCUACUAAAGAAAAACAAAAAACAAGACACAAAACUAUUCUCAAACAUUCAUUAUUAGACAACUGGAGUUUUUGCUGGUUUUGUAACCUACUAAAAUGGAUAGGCUGUUGAACAUUCCACAUUCAAGUUUUUUGUAGGGUGGUGGGGAAGGGGGGGGUAUUUUCAAUGUUUAUUUUAAAAUAAAAUAAGUUCUUGACUUUAAAAAAAAAAAGAAACCAAUCUCAUUUAUAAUUGCAUCAAAAAGAAUAAAAUACCUAGGAAUAAAUUUAACCAAGGAGCUGAAGGACUUGGUACACUGAAAACAGUAAGACACUGAU
rnacentral:lncRNA from 1 species